CCAACCUCCCCCGGGGCCAUGAGGAGGGCAGCAGGGCCCCGGAGGAGGUGAGAGCAACUUGAAGAUGAAAUCACGGAGGCAGCAGCCUCGGGCUCAGAGUGGAGACUUCAGUUGUCAAUGAUGACGCCAAUGAAGAGGUUGAGGGUGAAGAAGGAGCCGAAGAUGAUGAAGAUGACGAAAUAGAGGAAACUCAGUCCCCGUGACCUGUUCCCCUGCUCAUCUGCUCGCAGGAUUAGAGACACAGACCCAGAAAAGAAGCCAACAGAAUCUUUGAAGCAGCAGGACCCUUGGGACUGGACUCCCGUGCACUGCCAGCGGUGGCCACCCAGGCCAACCUCAUUAUUUCAGGCUGAACUGAAUCUGAGAAUUGUCUGUUUUCAAGGAGAAACCGUUCCAUGACCUCCAGACAAAGUGGGUGGCACAAGCCCGGUGAUGCCCAGGGGAGCUCUACUCCUGGCUGGGGCACCAACCAGCUGCCAGGUCACUUUCACUCUGGUGCAGAGGGGUCCCGGCUCCAGGGGUGGGACGGCCCAGUGCUGGCUGGCCUCUUGCAUGACCAGGAGGGAGCCCCCAGGCUCUGUGCACUGCUGACCUGCAACCAGCUGCUUCAUGGAAGUUCGUCCCUCUAGCGUGGGUUUUGCUCCUAACAGACACCCCAACCCCCCACCCCCGCCCCUUGCCUGGGGAAGUCCCAUUGGUCUUGCCCAAACCCCGUAUUUACCUGUCACUUCCGCCCUCAAGGGCCUGAGGGAAGGGUGGGCAGGCUUGGAGUCCUGGGGGGCCCCAGUCUGAGGCUGGGGAGGGACACCUAUAAACCCACAGACCUGCCUUCCUUUCUCUCCUCCUGCCUCGGUGCCCUCAGGGCCCUCCUGGGAGCUGCUGCAGCCUCUGCUGCCCCCAGUGGUGGAAGAGAUGAGCGAAGGAGGGGGCUGAGGGCGGGAAUGGGCACUUGGGCUGGUGUGGGAGGAUGCCUGGGGACCUCCAGACCUGGACCCCUGGUGGUGGCCGGAGUACAGACACCCCCAGCCCCCUUCCAAGCUGUCUCUGCUCCCCCAGUCCUCAGCCCUACUCAGAGCCCCGUUGGCACCCACCCU